UACGGAGGGUGCAAACGUUGCUCGGAAUCAUUGGGCGUAAAGCGCACGUAGGCGGCUUUUCAAGUGGCGGGUGAAAUCCCUCGGCUUAACCGGAGACUGCCUGCCAGACGUGGAAUUGCUGAGCACCGGGGAGAGGUGAGUGGAAUUCCCAGUGUAGCGGUGAAAUGCGUAGAUAUUGGGAGGAACACCAGUGGCGAAGGCGGCUCACUGGACCGGAACUGACGCUGAGGCGCGAAAGCGUGGGGAGCGAACAGG
rnacentral:rRNA from 1 species